rnacentral:rRNA from 1 species
UACGUAGGUGGCAAGCGUUGUCCGGAUUUACUGGGUGUAAAGGGCGUGUAGGCGGAGCUGCAAGUCAGAUGUGGAAUCCCGGGGCUCAACCCCGGAACUGCAUUUGAAACUGUAGCCCUUGAGUAUCGGAGAGGCAGGCGGAAUUCCUAGUGUAGCGGUGAAAUGCGUAGAUAUUAGGAGGAACACCAGUGGCGAAGGCGGCCUGCUGGACGACAACUGACGCUGAGGCGCGAAAGCGUGGGGAGCAAGCAGG